GUUUAUAUAGACCGGCUCUGCUCCAGAAAACAUAAAGAGGCCACCAGCAUACGACCCAAGACAAUUAGGUUUUUCAUAUCUCGCUCCUUUCUAGUUGUCAACUGGUGUGUAAGAAGAAUGUAGCCGUCUCUAUCUUUUCUUACGUUUAAUGAGGGAUUUUUUGUUAUGUAUUUUCUCCCGCAUUAUAUAUUCUUUGUUCUGUGAUUUGGAAUUUAUGAUAUAAUUGUGAAAGUUUUCGUCUUAAUAUUUUUUCAAUAAAGAAAGUGGCGAUGAUGAAAAAAAGGCCGGACUUACGGCUGCUACCACUCUCUUACGGCUGUUUAAGUGGGUGUUGUAGUAGAAUGAUGCUAAAGUUUCCAAAGGUUACUUCGCUGAGCCUCCUCUCUUCUCUUUCUGAAAAUUAUUAGCCCAUUUUUAUUCUUCCGUAGUUUUUUUUUCUAAAUCAAAAGCAAAAAUGCUUGAUGAAAUUAUUAUUGAAUAUUAUACUUGUUUUAUACAACAUAAUAAGUCUGACUAAUUUACUUGAGUCGAGGCCAUGUAAUAUGUUCUUCUCGAUCUUAAUCAAAGCAAUCUGAUAAUUAAAAAGCUCGAGCUGGGGAAAAUCUUUUUCGGUUACUCGGGUUCAUUCUUGUGGGUUUUGGCCUCUGUUGUUGAUGAUAUCGUCAUUGAUUCUUAUCUAGUUAAAUAAAUAUUCCACUAUUCACUUUAAGUGUUACCAAUCAUGAAUCACAGAAACAAAGUCUAAUGGCUAUCUUAAUGGUGUUAUGUUUUUAAUUGUAGCCUUUUUCUCAGAUGUAUUUGAUUUUGAGAUUUUUUUUAUAGGUUUAGAACUUGAAUUUCUGAUGUUUUGCAGUAACGAAUCCUUUUACUUGUGUUUGCUUUUAGACAGCAUUUUUGCCGGCCUGUGACUGACCGAGUGCAGAAGCCGUACUUCGGCUUUAGCUCAAAAGAUGGGGUCUAAUCACUGGACUGAGGAUACCUUAUGACUGCGUGUCUCGUCAUGGUUUUAAAAGUUGUAGUUACCUUGGUUGCUGUUUACAUGACUUGAACAGAGGCUCAUAUUUAUGAUGAAAGAUGCGUCAACAACGGUGGAAAUUACAGGGCGAGGAGUUGCGCUCGUUGGUUUGUUGUUCUGUGUCUAUGGUAGCUUAUCACUUGUCUAAUGCACCUCGUUACUUCGAGAACUAUAGCUGAAAAAUACUAGAUGAAGAGUGUUAGUGAAUGUUACAUGUAAAGCCAAAAGCCUUUAGGCUUUUAAUUUCUUUUGCUUGUUCAUUUCAGGAUUUAUGGGUUUUGUUGUGUUGAUUACGUGUAGGACAUUUGGUUGGUCAUGACUCAUUUCUUAUGUUCGGCCUUUGGUCUGCCACUGAUACGUGUCUCUGACAGUGGCGCACAGUUUCACCAAUGUGUCGACUAUUCUGCAUUUCUGCUUAUCUCCUCUGCAUGAUGCAUCUGUUGUUACUUGUUGGUUGUUACACUGUUCAAUAAUGCACAAAUCUUGAUCUCUGUUAGAGCAUGUUUAUUGGGGUAUCUUAAGUGUGGCUCUUAGUAUAAUGAGUAAUUAAAUUAAAAGGAAAAUAGCCAUUUAUCUAAGAGGCGGGUCUUAAUUAAGGGCUGCAAGAAACGCUUCUUAUGAGACAGGUGUUUGAAAGGAAAAAAAAAAGUUGAACCCGACGAAGAAUCUGGUUCUUCUCUAUCGUUGAAUCUCUCUGGCACCAAUCGUCGCAGGAAGGCUGUAUGAUCAAGCUUUGAUCGGUAUCUUCUGCCUUCCAUGGCCAACGAAGUCGAGUGCUUCCUCUUCUCCUCCGUCGACCUAGAUUCCGAAGACGAUCCGCCGCGAUUCUUCCUCCUUCUUCCCUCUCUCUCGCCUCCGUGACUCACAUCUUCUCCCAUAAGAAGUCAAUCAAGUCUAUGUUUAAUCCUUACUCUUUUAUACUUAUCUUCACAAAGCUUUGGGCUUAAACUCUAUCUCUUUCGGUUACAUCAACUGAGUUUUUUUCAUAGAACUGUGUUCUUCUUCCCAGGGUUUUGUUCGUCUGGUUGAACACUAUGAAGAACGUUGAGAUUUUUAUGAUCUUUCUCUCCUUAAACGCUGCCUUAUAUCUAGUGUCUGCUGAUCCACCAACGUGGCCUGCGGAUUCGGGAGGGAAGUGUAGUGUUUCUGAUGAUUGGGAGGGAGAGUUUUUCCCUGAGAUCCCUCAUAUUAAGUACGAGAUAAUCUAUCACGGCAAAAAGGAUGAGCUGCAGACGGAUCAGUGGCCUGCACAGCGGUGUAUUGGAGUGGCCUUGAGUGUGGCUGCGGGAUUGCUUGGAGCUUGUUUCCCUGGGACUGGUGCUAGGAUCGUUGCUUUAGUUGGAGGACCAUGCUCUGAGGGACCAGGCACGGUAACUCCAUUUUGUUUAUCUCCCCUUUUUUGUAUAGGAAGCUCUUGUUUAUGACUUCAGAAAUGACGAUAUAAACUGGUGUAUCUUCUUAACAAUAAUCUCAAAACUACACUUUCUUAUC